rnacentral:rRNA from 1 species
AGGACGAACGCUGGCGGCGUGCUUAACACAUGCAAGUCGAGCGCGAAUGCUUUCGGGUGUUUGAGCGGCGAACGGGUGAGUAACACGUGGGUGACCUGCCCUCAGCUCUGGGAUAAGCCUGGGAAACUGGGUCUAAUACCGGAUAUGACAUGAUCUCGCAUGGGGUUGUGUGGUAAAGUUUUUUCGGCUGGGGAUGGGCCCGCGGCCUAUCAGCUUGUUGGUGGGUGAUGGCUUACCAAGGCGACGACGGGUA